ACUUCCGGCCGGAAGUCGGUGCGUCCCGCGGCUUUGGCGCGAGGGUCUCCUCGGAAAACGAGAACUUUCCCGUCCCCCGGCGAUUAGAUGCAGGCAGGCACCGAUUGGCCGCUUUGUCCUCGUCGGUCACAGCACCCAGAGCACCCUCCCUAUGGGGAUCCAGGUGAGUUGACGGGAAGAUCUGUGUGCAGGCUGAACGUGUGCCAGUUCCCUUUCUGCCUGGUUCCGUGUGCCUGAAAUAGAAUUGUUGGGGCCUGGAACUUUCCAGAUUCCUUUGGUUUCAUUCCCUCAACCAUGUCACUUUGGAACGCGGGCCCUGUUCGUGCUUAAGACCCUGUUUUGUACGGACCUAAAUAAAAGGGGUCAGUCCCCAAGGAGCAUU